rnacentral:rRNA from 1 species
CAGUCGCCACGGGAAUACGGAGGAUCCGAGCGUUAUCCGGAAUUAUUGGGUUUAAAGGGUGCGUAGGCGGAUAGAUAAGUCAGUGGUGAAAGACGGUGGCUCAACCAUCGCAGUGCCGUUGAUACUGUUUAUCUUGAAUAUGGAUGAGGUAGGCGGAAUGUGGCAAGUAGCGGUGAAAUGCAUAGAUAUGCCACAGAACACCGAUUGCGAAGGCAGCUUACCAAGGCAAAAUUGACGCUGAGGCACGAAAGCGUGGGGAUCGAACAGGAUUAGAUACCCCUGUAGUCCCUGUCUCUUAUAC